rnacentral:rRNA from 1 species
UAAUAUAUAGGUAACGUGCCCUAGAUAAGAGGAUAACAUCUGGAAACGGUUGCUAAGACUCUAUAUGCCUUUAAGACAUAAGUCUGCAAGGGAAAUAUUUAUAGCUCUAGGAUCGGCCUGUACGGUAUCAGCUUGUUGGUGAGGUAAUGGCUCACCAAGGCAAUGACACCUAACUGGUUUGAGAGGAUGAUCAGUCACACUGGAACUGAGACACGGUCCAGACUCCUACGGGAGGCAGCAGUGGGGAAUAUUGCACAAUGGACGAAAGUCUGAUGCAUCAACGCCGCGUGGAGGAUGACACUUUUCGGUGCGUAAACUCCUUUUAUAUAGGAAGAUAAUGACGGUACUAUAUGAAUAAGCGCCGGCUAACUCCGUGCCAGCAGCCGCGGUAAUACGUGAGGGCGCAAGCGUUACUCGGAAUCACUGGGCGUAAAGAGCGUGUAGGCGGGUUA